ensembl:rRNA 5S_rRNA 5S ribosomal RNA
GUCUGCAGCCAUACCACCCUGAACAUAAUCUUGCCUGAUCACAAAAACUAAGCAGGGUAGGGCCUGGUUAGUACAUGAAUGGGAGGAAGCAGAAGUAGUAGCUU